UUCCGGUUGAUCCUGCCGGACCUGACUGCUAUCGGAUUGAUACUAAGCCAUGCGAGUCUUUGCAGUAAUGCAAGGCAUACGGCUCAGUAACACGUAGUCAACUUACCCUAUGGACGAGGAUAAUCUCGGGAAACUGAGCAUAAUACUCGAUAGAUCAUAAUGCCUGGAAUGGUUUAUGGUUGAAAUGAUUCGUCGCCAUAGGAUGGGACUGCGGCCUAUCAGCUUGUUGGUGAGGUAAUGGCCCACCAAGGCGAUUACAGGUACGGGCUCUGAGAGGAGAAGCCCGGAGAUGGGUACUGAGACAAGGACCCAGGCCCUAUGGGGCGCAGCAGGCGAGAAAACUUUGCAAUGUGCGAAAGCACGACAAGGUUAAUCCGAGUGAUUUCUGCUAAAGAAAUCUUUUGCAAGUCAUAACACCACUAGUGAAUAAGGGGUGGGCAAGUUCUGGUGUCAGCCGCCGCGGUAAAACCAGCACCUCAAGUGGUCAGGAGGAUUAUUGGGCCUAAAGCAUCCGUAGCCGGCUCUGUAAGUUUUCGGUUAAAUCUAUGUGCUCAACGCAUAGGCUGCCGAAAAUACUGCAUAGCUAGGGAGUGGGAGAGGUAGACGGUACUCGGUAGGAAGGGGUAAAAUCCUUUGAUCUAUCGAUGACCACCUGUGGCGAAGGCGGUCUACCAGAACACGUUCGACGGUGAGGGAUGAAGCUGGGGGAGCAAACCGGAUUAGAUACCCGGGUAGUCCCAGCUGUAAACGAUGCAGACUCGAUGAUGCAUUGGCAUAUAGCCAGUGCAGUGUCGCAGGGAAGCCGUUAAGUCUGCCGCCUGGGAAGUACGUACGCAAGUAUGAAACUUAAAGGAAUUGGCGGGGGAGCACCACAAGGGGUGAAGCCUGCGGUUCAAUUGGAGUCAACGCCGGG
rnacentral:rRNA from 1 species